AUGGGGCUCUGUUUGUUUUUUUUUUUUUUUAAAUAUUUUUAUGGUUUAUUUAACUUUAUUUUAUGUGCAUUGGUGUGAAGGUGUCAGAUCCCCUGCAACUGGAUCUUCAGACAGUUGUGAGCUGCCAUAUGGGUGCUGGGAAUUGAACCCUUGUCCUCUGUAAGAGCAGUCAGUGCUCUUAACAGCCGAGCCAUCUCUCCAGCCCUGUUUGUUUGUUUUUUUAUGGCCUUGAACUCACAGAGAUUGACCAGCCUCUGCCUCCUGAGUGCUGGAAUUAAAGAUGUUUGCCACUUACCAUACCCAGCCAGAGGCUCUGUUUUUAUAUGACUUGGUCUGUGAAGUUUAGCACCUCACUCCCCAUACUACUCGGCCUGUGCCACACUUGGGGAGAUGUGUUGGUCUAAGUCCUCUGGUCCCCACACUUAGAGAGAUAGAUGUGUUGGUGUAAGUCCUCUGGUCUCCACAUUUGGGGAGAUGUGUUUUUUGGUCUAAGUCCUCUGGUCCCCACAGUUGGGGAGAUGUGUUGGUCUAAGUCCCCUGGUCUCCACACUUGGGGAGAUAGAUGUGUGGGUCUAAGUCCUCUGCUCUGGGGGGGGGGGCGCAGGGAGACAUAAUCCAGAGUCACUCAGCUCUGAAGUGCCUGACUACCCCAGGCAGCCACGAUUUCUAGCAGCAGUAGGGACUGGCUGAAGAAAAGCUGCAUUGACUGGGCAGCUGGCAGAGGAGAGCAAGCCUGUCCUGGAGCCAGCUCUGCCUCGCCAGUGCUGCUAGGAACUAUAGGUCUCUGUUUGAAUAGUUCUCUGGUUUUCUCUUAGGGCCUUCCUACCUCUUACAGGGUACUGUCCUGACUUCUGCCAGCACACCACGAGAUGCUCCCUGAGCCACAAACUGGCUCUCGCUUGAUUCUGUAGCCCACACCCUCCCAGUCCAGUUUAGCUAUCUGCUGAACUUCACGGGCAUGUAAGCCAUAGCUGUCAAAUGGACGGAUUAAUGAAUGCCCGUAGCUCUGCUUGCUUUGGUCUAUAAGCGUUUUUUUCCAACAUCUUUAAGCCUCACUUAGAUGCACCCCUUUUCUAAGAAGCCGCAACUGAAAUUUCCCAGAAGAGUUCAUCACCAUCAGUGCAGCAAGACUUCUACCUAGCACUUGUUGUGUGCCAAGCACCUCGGGCAGUGCCAAGGAGGGCAGGAUGAAGAGGACAAGACCCUUGCAUUUCUCCCCCCUUGGCUCCUCAGUUCCCAGCUCCAGAGAGCUCUGUCUCCAGUGGCCUGUCCUGCAGAGCGGUUCUGUUUGCACCUGGAGCUCCUGGGUUGGCUCAAGCCCCUGGCUAAGGCCAUCUCGCUCUAGGGCAAAUCCAAAGGAAGCAAGGCUCGAGAUCCUGAAGAUGGAGUCCGGGGAAGAAAGCCCAUUGUCAUGCCUGUCAAAAGCACUGCGAUGACCCUGUAGGCCGAUGCUGUGACCAGGAGGAAAAGAGGGCAGGGACCUUGCAGAGAACCUGACCAAAUCAGGGCAGGGGGAUGUAGUAGUUAAGACAGCUUUCCAGAGAAAAUGACUGAGUAACCUUUUUGAUGCCCUUUUUAUUUUGUUUUUAGGCCUCAUGAAUUUGCAUCUUAUCCUCGCACAGGGGGCCAUGCUAAUCUUCUGUCUCAUUCCAGUUUUAGUAUAUGUACUGCCGAAGAAGCGAGCACUUGAUGCCCUUUCUUCGACCAGCGCUUAUCAAUGCAAGUCAACAGCAACUGAAACCAGGUGCUGCACAGGCCUUCAGCCAUGCUGGGAAGCCUCCUGUGGACUGGUGUUGGCCAGCCUCGAGAAGACGCCUUCCCCUUGAGAUAGCACUGCUUCCUGCCAGGCCACUGCCACAUCCUUUCUCCUGCCAUAUUUCUAUUUUAAUGACUGCGAUGGCCCCCUCCUUCUCUUCCUCCUCUUCAAUAGCAGCCGCUGUCCUGGAACGCACCGUGAAACCCAGGCUGGUCUCCAUUCAUGACAAUCCCUCUGCCUCUGUCUGUGACUCCCAAGUGCUGGAAUUACAGGGUUUCUCUUUAGCUUUGGAGCCUGUCCUGGAACAUACUCUGAAGAUCAGGCUGGCUGUAAACUCAUAGAGACCCAUUCGCCUUUGCCUUCCAAGUGCCAGGAUUAAAGAUGUGCACCACCACCACCCCAUUCUUCCGUUUUCAAAAAAGAGGUGCUUAUUUUAUGGGUACUGGUAUUUUUGCCUGCAUAUCUGUGCACCACAUGUGUGCAAUGCCUAUGAGGGCAUCAGAGGGCAUUGGAGCGUCUGGAAUUAGGGUUACAGACAACUAGCUGCCAUGCAGGUGCUGGGAUUUGAAUUCUGGUCCUAUGGAAGAGCAGUCACUGCUCUUAACCUCCGAACUAUCUCUCUGGUACUCCAAUUGCCUGCAACUUUUUGUUUACAUGUCUUUGUUCUUCACCGUGCUGUCCCAAAGAUACAUACAUAGUACUAGCCAAAAAGGUAAGUCAGAUCUCAUUUUAUUCUAUAGUAACUAUAUUGUAUUAAUUCAAUUUUGGAUUAUGCAUGCAUUUGUCAUUAAUUAAAUCUAUCCUUAGGCGGUUUGAUACAUAUAUAUGUUCUCAUCCCUCACACUCUUUUAUCUUCCUUCUACUCCAUCAUAUUCCCCUCUUAACCCACAGGUCUUCUCCUCACAUUCCCACCUUUUGAUCUUGUGACCCACUGAUAUUAAUCAGGUCUGUCUGUGUGUCACCAGUUUGAAACCAUCCAUUGGAGCCUGUUGGGCUUAAUGUUUGGGACGUAAGUGAAGGCAUUGACUAUCAUCCCAUCCCAUGAAUCCAUCAAUUGCCCAUAGUUCAGAAAGGAGAGGGCGGGAUCUCCAUGAGACCCUCCUACAACAUGACUGACUGUUGACAGGAACCAUCACCCUGGGGAGUCUGCAGAAUGCCCCUCACCCAAUUAGCAGCAAUCUCUUAGCGGAACCCGCCUCACAUUCCAGCUAUCCAGGGAACCAGGUGUGGCCACUUGACUUCCUAGCCUACCUCCUGGCCUACGUGACCUGGAACACGCGCAAGAAUCCAGUUACCCUGCCCCCCAUUCCUUACCAUAUAUAAACUGUAACCCGUCCCUAAUAAACGGAGGCUUUGACAAAUCUGCUUGGCCUCCUUCUUCUGUCUUAGCUCAUUCCCUUCCAGGUAGCGCCCCUCCGAGACCCUGGAGUAACUUGAUUGCAGGGUGGGUUACAAACCCCUAGACUGAGUAGCCCACCCGAACGCAAUCGACACCAGCUUGUCUGGAAAUCUUGAUCAUCCUGCCUCAUCAUCCCAAGUACUAGAGAUUGCAGGAAAAGAUGAAGAAGAUAAAGAGCCUACACUUGAGGAUCUCCAGUUCAUGGCAACCCCUUUGUCUCUGUCUGCUGUAGUUGGUGUGGAAGUAUGGAGUGCUGCCCAUCCCGCCUGCCUAGCCGCACACAGAUGCCCCAGAGAACGUCGGUGAAUAUUCAGACUUGCAGCUCAAUUACAGAAAGAGAAGCAGGCAACUUGAAAUCUGCCUUCAGCUGCCCUGAAAACCUGCAAGGAAGCCCCUCUAAUCCCUUCAUGUCACGCACACUCCCCAACUUCUGCCUCUCUCUUCCCCUCCCCUUCGGGGACAUAUGGCCCCUUGAAGUUUUUGUUUGCUUGCAGGGGGGGAAACACCCAGGCACAGUGUGUAGUGUUUCUCUUGUAUUAUUAUUAUUAUUAAGCAUCAAGAGACAUAGCAAUCUGCGUG